UUCAGUGUGGAAUAGUGGUUUGAGCAUUGGACUACAACUCUGGAGACCAGGGUUCAAAUCCCUGGAUGAAU